GGGAAAGCAAGAAUUUCAAAUCCUAAGAUGCAAAUUACACAAUCAAAAAAUGGAAAAAAAUUAUUUCACAAUGGUUUAAAAUGUUAAAGUUAGUUGCAGAAAUGUUAAUAGCGAUUGUAAGCUGAACAUCACUAACCCGUAAUCUCUCUCCUGUAUAUUUGAAUUAAGUCCACUAAUUGUUUCUCAAAACGAUGAACAUUAUUGCUAUGACUUUUAAAAGGUUAGAUGCGAGCAAAGAUCUUGUAAAUUUUUUAUCACUACAACGUAAAGGAUAUCAUGUGGGUAAAAUGAUAGAGGAAACUUGAGUGCAUAGUAAUGCAGGAUAUUUUUUAGUGAAAAAGUAAGUCGAGCAACAAUGGAAGCAUGCUGGUGUGA
rnacentral:misc_RNA from 1 species